rnacentral:rRNA from 1 species
GAUGAACGCUAGCGACAGGCUUAACACAUGCAAGUCGAGGGGCAGCACAGGGUAGCAAUACUUGGGUGGCGACCGGCGCACGGGUGAGUAACGCGUAUGCAACUUACCUAUCAGAGGGGGAUAGCCCGGCGAAAGUCGGAUUAAUACCCCAUGAAACAGGGGUCCCGCAUGGGAAUAUUUGUUAAAGAUUCAUCGCUGAUAGAUAGGCAUGCGUUCCAUUAGGCAGUUGGCGGGGUAACGGCCCACCAAACCGACGAUGGAUAGGGGUUCUGAGAGGAAGGUCCCCCCACAUUGGUACUGAGACACGGACCAAACUCCUACGGGAGGCAGCAGUGAGGAAUAUUGGUCAAUGGCCGAGAGGCUGAACCAGCCAAGUCGCGUGAAGGAAGAAGGGAUCUAUGGUUUGUAAACUUCUUUUAUAGGGGAAUAAAGUGGAGACGUGUCCUUUUUGUAUGUACCCUAUGAAUAAGCAUCGGCUAACUCCGUG